AUCCAACUGACGAGUCCCAAAUAGGACGAAACAUGCGUCAAACUGGAU
rnacentral:hammerhead_ribozyme from 1 species